CACAUGCAAGUCGAGGGCGAGCGCGGAAGUAGUAAUACUUUGGCGGCGACCGGCGCAAGGGUGCGUAACGCGUGAGCGACAUGCCCGUAACCGGGGGAUAACCGAUGGAAACGUCGCCUAACCCCCCAUAACACCAGUUUCUGCAUGGUGACUGGUUGAAAACUCUGGUGGUUACGGAUUGGCUCGCGUGACAUUAGGUAGACGGCGGGUAACGGCCCACCGUGCCGACGAUGUCUAGGGGUUCUGAGAGGAAGGUCCCCCACAAUGGAACUGAGACACGGUCCAUACUCCUACGGGAGGCAGCAGUGAGGAAUAUUGGUCAAUGGGCGGAAGCCUGAACCAGCCAUGCCGCGUGCCGGGAAGACGGCCCUAUGGGUUGUAAACCGCUUUUGAGAGGGAGCAAUAAGGUGGUCGAGCACCAUCGAUGAGAGUACCUUUCGAAUAAGCAUCGGCUAACUCCGUGCCAGCCGCGGC
rnacentral:rRNA from 1 species